rnacentral:lncRNA from 1 species
GCGGGGCGAACCGAACCUCCUCGCGCCGGCUGAUGGCGGCGGCGGGCGCGUGCGGAGGGCCUUGCUYAUGGCGCAGUAGUUGCUGGCGAGGCGAAGGAGGACAGUGGUGCACAUAAGCACUGUCUUACAACCUUUAUACCCUCUUGUCUCAAACUCAAAUGUGGGAUGCUGAGGGGUUCAGAAUCGUGUAGAAGGGAUCGGCAGAUCAUAUCAGCCCAGCUGUGAGGAUGGCUUCUGAAUAUGACUCUAAAAUGUUUGUACUGGUGUAAAAAUGCUGCAAUAAUGCGUAGUUUUGGUUUAACAAGAAGCUUCUCAAGCCUUUACCAGCCCCAAAGAAGUCUUACAGUGGAUCACACUUCGAUGCCAGGGAAGCCCCCAGGACAGACAGCAGAAUGCCUGCUCCGAAGGACCAGGGAACAGUGUCAGGCAGCAAACACCCUCCCAUGGGAUUCCCUGAAAAGUGAAGAGAGAGUCACUUCCUGGAG